AUGAUGCUUACAAAAAAUUAUGAUCGAUUAGGAUGUAAGAUGAGUGAUGCUACUUGGGAUGAUGCUCAAUUAGGUAGAGGACACAUCAAUGGUGGGGUAGCCGUAGGCAUAGCUAAUAGGUGGAGUAGGAGAAGAUGUACAUAUGAUGGUGAUGUGAGCACAUACAUAGGAGUGAAGCUAGCCAAGAUACAACAAGCUUGCUGCGAGAAGAGGAAUGGAAGAGGAUUUGGAGGAGAGGAGAUGGGGCCAUGGUAUAAAUUUAGAGGAUUAGGAAAAGGGUGUGCACAUGAUGGCAAAAUGAUAUGGAGUGGAGAAAUUGGAUCUGCCUUCUUUUGGGGGAGGGGCGCAUCAUGGGUGGUGCGUGCCUCCUCCCCUUGA
rnacentral:rRNA from 1 species